GUGAACUUGGAAACAGAUCUUACCCCAAGGAGCUUCAGAAUAUCAGAAAAAUGCGUCACUUUAACCAACCUACAAUGCUGUCAUUAUUCCUCAUACCAGG